GCCGCGGUAAUUCCAGCUCCAAUAGCGUAUAUUAAAGUUGUUGUGGUUAAAAAGCUCGUAGUUGAACCUUGGGCCUGGCUGGCCGGUCCGCCUCACCGCGUGUACUGGUCCGGCCGGGCCUUUCCCUCUGUGGAACCCCAUGCCCUUCACUGGGCGUGGCGGGGAAACAGGACUUUUACUUUGAAAAAAUUAGAGUGCUCCAGGCAGGCCUAUGCUCGAAUACAUUAGCAUGGAAUAAUAAAAUAGGACGUGCGGUUCUAUUUUGUUGGUUUCUAGGACCGCCGUAAUGAUUAAUAGGGACAGUCGGGGGCAUCAGUAUUCAAUUGUCAGAGGUGAAAUUCUUGGAUUUAUUGAAGACUAACUACUGCGAAAGCAUUUGCCAAGGAUGUUUUCAUUAAUCAGGAACGAAAGUUAGGGGAUCGAAGACGAUCAGAUACCGUCGUAGUCUUAACCAUAAACUAUGCCGACUAGGGAUCGGGCGAU
rnacentral:rRNA from 2 species